CUGACUUGAAAAUAAUUCUUAUUCGAAGAAAUUUAGACAAUAAAUAACAAGAAAAUUCUUUAAUUUAUUCGUCUAAUUUAUUAUUUGGCAACCAUUCAAAGAUUUCACAAAUAACAUAUUUGAGACCUACAUCUUAUUCAUUAACAAUUGCAUAUCUCGUUAUUUACGAACAUUAGUUUUUUUUUUUUGGUAUCGUUUAAAAUUAAACCGUUUAUUUUUAAACAAAAAAUGAAGGACAUCGGCAAUAUUUUGUUUUUAUGUAUGAGCUUUUUUUUGCAUUAUUUUUUCGUUUGUCAUUUAUCUUUUUUAGUAGCUGAUCUGGAAUUUAAAAACAAAAAUUUCCAUAAUUAAUUAAUUUAAAUAUUUCGUAUAUUUUUAUAUAAACAUUAUGGCUUCUACUGCAUCAGCCAAGAAUUUACUGAUCGCAAAAUCAGUAUUCCACAAGAUCCAUAUCGACAGAAAAGAAACCUGCAUACAAGGCUAAUAAAUAUCUU